GGAAGGUGUGAUAGCUCAGUAGCAGAGCAAUUGAUUUUCAUUCAGAAGGUCCCAGGUUCAUUCCCUGGCAUCUCCC